rnacentral:rRNA from 1 species
AUACAGAGGGUGCGAGCGUUAAUCGGAAUUACUGGGCGUAAAGCGCGCGUAGGCGGCUACUUAAGUCAGAUGUGAAAUCCCCGGGCUCAACCUGGGAACUGCAUCUGAUACUGGGUAGCUAGAGUUUAGGAGAGGGAAGUAGAAUUUCAGGUGUAGCGGUGAAAUGCAUAGAGAUCUGAAGGAAUUCCAGUGGCGAAGGCGGCUUCCUGGCCUAAAACUGACGCUGAGGUGCGAAAGCGUGGGUAGCAAACGGGAUUAGAAACCCCAGUAGUCC